GGGGGUGAUCGGUUUCGACUCUGGUCGUCGAUGCAGGAGAAGCGAGCCGUGGUCUCCGGAGCCACGUUAAAGAGCCGGAAACCAACACAAACGCCGAACACCAGUUCGCGCUGGCUGCUUAAUACGUAGCCCGUCCGUCCGACCCCAGUCCUACGGGUCGGGUACGGGCGUCAUAACGUAGGACUUACCCGAAUGGUUCUGCCGAUCGGCCGUCGGGAACAUCACAGGUCGUCUGGGGUCCAUCGCAGGUGCCGGCAGCGGCGGCGGACCCGAGAACAAGCAACCGGCUGCGCUCGGAGAAUGCCUGUUGAGAAGCCGGAGGACGCGGGUUCGAUUCCCGCCACCUCCACUU
rnacentral:tmRNA from 1 species